rnacentral:rRNA from 1 species
GGGUCGUAAACCGCUUUCAGCAGGGAAGAGAGAAGACUGUACCUGCAGAAGAAGCCCCGGCUAACUACGUGCCAGCAGCCGCGGUAAUACGUAGGGGGCGAGCGUUAUCCGGAUUCAUUGGGCGUAAAGCGCGCGUAGGCGGCCCGGCAGGCCGGGGGUCGAAGCGGGGGGCUCAACCCCCCGAAGCCCCCGGAACCUCCGCGGCUUGGGUCCGGUAGGGGAGGGUGGAACACCCGGUGUAGCGGUGGAAUGCGCAGAUAUCGGGUGGAACACCGGUGGCGAAGGCGGCCCUCUGGGCCGAGACCGACGCUGAGGCGCGAAAGCUGGGGGAGCGAACAGGAUUAGAUACCCUGGUAGUCCCAGCCGUAAACGAUGGACGCUAGGUGUGGGGGGACGAUCCCCCCGUGCCGCAGCCAACGCAUUAAGCGUCCCGCCUGGGGAGUACGGCCGCAAGGCUAAAACUCAAAGGAAUUGACGGGGGCCCGCACAAGCAGCGGAGCAUGUGGCUUAAUUCGAAGCAACGCGAAGAACCUUACCAGGGCUUGACAUAUGGGUGAAGCGGGGGAGACCCCGUGGCCGAGAGGAGCCCAUACAGGUGGUGCAUGGCUGUCGUCAGCUCGUGUCGUGAGAUGUUGGGUUAAGUCCCGCAACGAGCGCAACCCCCGCCGCGUGUUGCCAUCGGGCGAUGCCGGGAACCCACGCGGGACCGCCGCCGUCAAGGCGGAGGAGGGCGGGGACGACGUCAAGUCAUCAUGCCCCUUAUGCCCUGGGCUGCACACGUGCUACAAUGGCCGGUACAGAGGGAUGCCACCCCGCGAGGGGGAGCGGAUCCCGGAAAGCCGGCCCCAGUUCGGAUUGGGGGCUGCAACCCGCCCCCAUGAAGUCGGAGUUGCUAGUAAUCGCGGAUCAGCAUGCCGCGGUGAAUGCGUUCCCGGGCCUUGUACACACCGCCCGUCACACCACCCGAGUCGUCUGCACCCGAAGUCGCCGGCCCAACCGAGAGGGGGGAGGCGCCGAAGGUGUG